UACGGGGGGGGCAAGCGUUGUUCGGAAUUACUGGGCGUAAAGGGCUCGUAGGUGGCCAACUAAGUCAGAUGUGAAAUCCCCAGGCUUAACCUGGGAACUGCGUCUGAUACUGGAUGGCUUGAAUUCGGGAGAGGGAUGCAGAAUUCCAGGUGUAGCGGUGAAAUGCGUAGAUAUCUGGAGGAAUACCGGUGGCGAAGGCGGCAGCCUGGACCGAGAUUGACACUGAGGAGCGAAAGCUAGGGGAGCAAACGGG
rnacentral:rRNA from 1 species